GGGUCGGGAGCGCUGCCCUUUGCGGUGCGAUGGACGUCUGUUCCACCUGGCUC
rfam:Janthinobacterium sp. CG23_2 isolate Janthinobacterium sp. CG23_25 genome assembly, contig: Contig_scf7180000000011_quiver